rnacentral:rRNA from 1 species
GUUAAGCGACUAAGCGUACACGGUGGAUGCCCUGGCAGUCAGAGGCGAUGAAGGGCGUGCUAAUCUGCGAUAAGCGCCGGUAAGGUGAUAUGAACCGUUAUAACCGGCGAUACCCGAAUGGGGAAACCCAGUGUGAUUCGUCACACUAUCAUUAACUGAAUCCAUAGGUUAAUGAGGCGAACCGGGGGAACUGAAACAUCUAAGUACCCCGAGGAAAAGAAAUCAACCGAGAUUCCCCCAGUAGCGGCGAGCGAACGGGGAGGAGCCCAGAGCCUGAAUCAGCAUGUGUGUUAGUGGAAGCGUCUGGAAAGGCGCGCGAUACAGGGUGACAGCCCCGUACACAAAAGCGCAUGUGCUGUGAGCUCGAUGAGUAGGGCGGGACACGUGGUAUCCUGUCUGAAUAUGGGGGGACCAUCCUCCAAGGCUAAAUACUCCUGACUGACCGAUAGUGAACCAGUACCGUGAGGGAAAGGCGAAAAGAACCCCGGCGAGGGGAGUGAAAAAGAACCUGAAACCGUGUACGUACAAGCAGUGGGAGCACAGGUUUACCUGUGUGACUGCGUACCUUUUGUAUAAUGGGUCAGCGACUUAUAUUCUGUAGCAAGGUUAACCGAAUAGGGGAGCCGGAGGGAAACCGAGUCUUAAUUGGGCGUUAAGUUGCAGGGUAUAGACCCGAAACCCGGUGAUCUAGCCAUGGGCAGGUUGAAGGUUGGGUAACACUAACUGGAGGACCGAACCGACUAAUGUUGAAAAAUUAGCGGAUGACCUGUGGCUGGGGGUGAAAGGCCAAUCAAACCGGGAGAUAGCUGGUUCUCCCCGAAAGCUAUUUAGGUAGCGCCUCGUGAAUUCAUCUCCGGGGGUAGAGCACUGUUUCGGCUAGGGGGCCAUCCCGGCUUACCAACCCGAUGCAAACUGCGAAUACCGGAGAAUGUUAUCACGGGAGACACACGGCGGGUGCUAACGUCCGUCGUGAAGAGGGAAACAACCCAGACCGCCAGCUAAGGUCCCAAAGUCAUGGUUAAGUGGGAAACGAUGUGGGAAGGCCCAGACAGCCAGGAUGUUGGCUUAGAAGCAGCCAUCAUUUAAAGAAAGCGUAAUAGCUCACUGGUCGAGUCGGCCUGCGCGGAAGAUGUAACGGGGCUAAACCAU